rnacentral:lncRNA from 1 species
UGUCUUGUCGUUUAUUUUAAUUAUACGACACGUAAGGAUAUAUCAUGAAGUUUUUUGUUUUAUCCCCUUUUCCAAUCAAUCUACUAAGGAGUAGGGCCAGUUCCAACCCCUAACCAUGGGCAGCAUCUACACCUUCAUCCGACCAUCCCUCCACCUUCACCAUCCGAUUCUCCUCCACACCUGUGGAGGAGAAUCGGAUGGUGAAGACCUGAGAUCGCCGGGCCGGGUUCAGAACCCCGAAAAAACUUUUCAGGAGAUGCCGGACCCGGGAUGUGAACUCGGAUCCUUCUGCGUGGCCGGCCAACGGGUUACCACGCGAUUAUCCGGCCGUCUUACUUAAAGUUUAACGGUAGAUAUUAAAUACCAACAGUAUAUCUAUAUAUUAUAUGCUGUUUGUAUUUAACUCUUUCGAUUAACUGACAAAGAU